rnacentral:tRNA from 1 species
UCAUUCUUAGCUCAGUUGGUAGAGUGUGUCACUAGCAAUGAUGAGGUCAGUUGUUCGAGUUGGCCAGAAAGAA